GACGAACGCUGGCGGCGUGCCUAACACAUGCAAGUCGAGCGGAGACAGUGAGUAGCUUGCUACGAGCUGUUUUAGCGGCGGACGGGUGAGUAACGCGUGAGCAACCUUUCCCAGACAGGGGAAUAACACACCGAAAGGUGUACUAAUACCGCAUAAGACCACGGGAUCACAUGGUUCUGGGGUAAAAGAUUUAUCGGUUUGGGGUGGGCUCGCGUCCGAUUAGGUAGUUGGUGAGGUAACGGCCCACCAAGCCGACGAUCGGUAGCCGACCUGAGAGGGUGAUCGGCCACAUUGGGACUGAGACACGGCCCAAACUCCUACGGGAGGCAGCAGUGGGGAAUAUUGGGCAAUGGAGGAAACUCUGACCCAGCAACGCCGCGUGGAGGAAGAAGGUUUUCGGAUCGUAAACUCCUGUCCUUGGA
rnacentral:rRNA from 1 species